UAGUAGAGUCUAAUGAGCAUUUUGUACACAAACAUGUAUUUGGAAAACCCUAAGCCUUGGUGGCUAUACACACAUGAGCUGGAGAACAAAAUCUCACGUUUGGAAGAGGAAAAUGAAAGACCCAGGAGGCAGAAGUGUUAGCCAGAAAAAUUUAUGGCAUUGGAAGUUACCCAAAUUCUGUUGAAUGCACAAGUUGUUGAUGGAUCUGUUCGGAAGCAUGCUGAAGAGAGUUUAAAGCAAUUUCAGGAGCAAAAUCUACCUGGCUUUCUGUUAUCUCUCUCUGGAGAACUUGCUCAUGAUGAGAAGCCUGUUGAUAGUCGUAAACGAGCUGGUUUGAUUCUCAAGAAUGCUUUAGAUGCAAAAGAGCAACAUAGAAAGUAUGAACUCAUCCAAAGAUGGUUAUCACCUGAUGUGGGUGUUAAAUCAAAAAUUAAGACAUACCUAUUACAGACACUCACCUCUCCUGUUCACGAGGCAAGAUCAACUGCAUCACAAGUUAUAGCUAAAGUUGCUGGAAUAGAGCUUCCACAAAAACAAUGGCCUGAGCUCAUUGGCUCCCUUCUAUCAAACAUUCACCAAGUCCCUGUUCAUGUCAAGCAAUCCACUUUAGAAACUCUCAGGUAUUUGUGUGAAGAAGUUUCUCCAGAUGUUGUAGAACAAGAUCAUGUGAAUAAAAUCCUCACAACUGUUGUUCAAGGCAUGAAUGCAAGUGAAGCUAGUAAUGAUGUAAGACUUGCUGUAACUAGAGCACUUUACAAUGCUCUUGGUUUUGCUCAAGCAAAUUUCACCAAUGAAAUGGAACGUGAUUAUAUUAUGAGAGUUGUUUGUGAAGCAACUUGUCUUGGUUUAGUUGUAAGAAUAGUAGGAAAUGAUAUUGUUCCACUUGUGAUGCCUUCCAUUGAAGAAAAGAUAACAAAACCAGAUUGGAGACAAAGGGAAGGAGCUACUUAUGCUUUUGGAUCCAUCUUAGAAGGUCCUUCACCCAAUUAGUUGACUCCUUUAGUCAAUGUUGCUCUAAACCACAAGCAAGGUUGUAUACCUGCAUCCAUCACGUGGUUUAUAAUUAAAUAAAUUUGGCGAAAUAGGGUUUUUGGUUCUACGAGUUCUUAUAACCCUGUCAUGGCGACUAUGGUUCAUGAAGGAUCUUAUUUUCAUGAGGCUCAAUUUGAUUCAAAGAUGAAAGAGUUGCUUUCAUCUGAUGGACUCGUCUUUUUCUCAUCAUAUGAUUUUUUUACCCAUAAUAGAUAAGUAAUAACUGUUCUAUCCCCCUUACAUAUCAAGUGGUAGAAAUUGACCCUUCAGAGAGUGCAGAUGCAGAUCCCUUAUCAGUUACAAAACCUGCCAGAUCUGGAAAAUUUAGCUUUAGGGGUACUUUUAGUCUCUCAAAGCCAAAAUCAACUAGCUCAAGGAGGAACAUCCAAGUUCUAGAAGCAAUUGACCAUACUACCCCUACUCCCAACAUGUUUUCCCCACAGGACUAUGUGGGACAAGGGGGAAAUAUGAUGUUUUCCUCUCGAAAUGAUGCCUAUCUUUCACCUCGUGUGGGUAUAGCUGUUGCCACUCAGAAUUCUGAUGUUUUUAGUGCUGGACUAUCACUUCUUGAGCUCGAAAAGAAGGUGAGUCACAUUUUUUAUUCUUUAAAUAAUUUUGUCACCUUCUCACUCAAAAGUCUAUUUAACUAAUGGUAAUGUCUAUUCUUUUUCCUCUCAUAGCAAAUAGUGGAUGUUAAAGCUUUUAAUACAGAUUGAUCUCACUACAGACUUUCGAUUCUACUUCACAUGACAUCCGAUAGGACAAAAGUAAAUACAUUUACUUACACGUUACACCAUUUACGAAUUCUCAUUUUAAAUUUACAGUUUAGACUCUAGAUCUAUAUUUGACUUUACAAUUUAAAUUACUUAAUACAUGUUGUCCAUUAUCAGCCACACACCAUGUUUUAUAACAGGGAUGUAUUAAGCUUAUGUCUGCAACAAUCUGGUACUCAGUCACUUACUUGGCUUCAUCUUAUCAAUACUCCAAAUCUUUUUAAAUGGUAGGCAUCAGUCAAAGUUGAAUUAUUGAAGGUCUAGAUAUGAAAAGGGGACAACCAAUCAAACAGUUUCCAUUUUCCACCAAAUUCGAACACAUAACCUAUAAUUAGGGUUUCAAAAUGGACACUUCCAUCUGGAUUUAAAACCCAAAAACAUUCUUGCUAAUUCUGACUAUAAACUGAAGAUCUGUGAUUUAGAACCCUAAAUAGUCACAAAUAAGAAGAUUACAGAUUUUUUUUCCUGGUUUCACUCCCAAUGGACACUUCCAUCUGGAUUUUUUUUCCUGGUUUCACAAACUGAAGAUCUCGAGGUUUAAAUAACGUAGAGGUAGACAGGCAUUUAUUUAUGUAUCCUUUAUUGUAUAUUUGUAUUAAAAUAAAUAGCUAAUUAAUUUAAGCAUCAGCAUCGAGUUUCAUGGGGGUGGGGGGAUCAACCGAAUAUCUCCGAUGAAACUUCCAUCAUUUUUUGGAUUUGUGAAGAGGAAGUUCCGACUUUACACGUGGAAGAACAUUCUAGAAUUUGUGCGAUUGCUGAUUGUUGCGAUCAGACAGGUAUAAGUGUAGAUGAAAGGCUUGUAUGGGUUGCUGAAACCCUAGAGAAGUUAAUGGAGUUGAUUUCACAAAAGGAUAAUAGAAGUCCAGAUGCUCCUAAAGCAAGUUCAAGUGUUACCGAAGACUGUGAUUUCAUGUCCCCUAAGCUUAGUGAUUGGUCACGUAGAGGUUCAGAAGACAUGCUUGAUUGUUUUCCUGAUCAAGGCAAUAAUUAUGUAUCGAUGGAUGAUCUUAAAGCUCACCCCUGUAUGUCAUGUAGGACCCGCUUUGGUCCUAAAUCUGACCAAGGAAUGACCACAUCAUCUGCUGGCAGCAUGACUCCUAGGUCGCCAUUGAUGACACCAAAAACCAGCCAGAUAGACUUGUUAUUAGCAGGGAAGGGUGCCUAUUCUGAACAUGAUGACCUUCCACAGAUGAAUGAGCUUGCUGAUAUUGCUCGAUGUGCUGGCAAUACGCCAUUAGAUGAUGACCGAUCUUUGUCGUAUCUGCUGACGUGUCUUGAUGACUUAAGAGUCGUGAUCGACCGCAGAAAGUUUGAUGCCCUGACCGUUGAGACAUUUGGAGCACGCAUAGAGAAGCUUAUUCGGUGAUAACAUUUUUAUAAUAAACAUGUUUUUUCAUGAGGUGUGUGUUUGUUAAAUCAUAAAUCAUAAAUCAUAAAUGUUAAUUAUUAGUUGUUACAAGCAGGGAGAAGUAUUUGCAGAUUUGUGAGAUGGUUGAUGAAAAAGUUGACAUCGCAAGCACGGUUAUCGAUGAAGAUGCUCCAUUGGAGGAUGAUGUGGUACGGAGCUUGAGAACCAUCCCUAUACAUUCCGGAAAUAAGGACUGCACUUCCAUUGAUGACUUUGAGAUUAUAAAACCGAUUAGUCGUGAUGAUGCAAUUGUAUAUAAAUGAGUUCAUUUUUUAUAACAUUUACUCACUUUUGGAAUAAUUAUUUGUAUUUGACAUAUUAGUGAAAUGAAAUAUCUUUGUUAUUUA